ACUGGGAAGUGCUGACACCGGGAUAUGGGCAGUGACCCGACCAGGAAAUAGAUCUCUGCUUUCUCUCUUCCUUCCUCCCCUCCCUCGAGUCAGGUUUGCAAGCAGUAGCUUUCUACUGACUCUGACAGCUUUCCAGCGGGAAUCAGAGGAUGCAGCAUCUGCUGGACCAAUGGGGAAAAGCUGGGAAGAACAGGCUGGGGCAAUUAGUGGGGGGCUCUGGUUGAGCACCGGCCUGUACAUCAUUCAAAUGGCACCUUGUUGUUCUGACUCCGUUAUUAGAACUAAACUGGCAUCCAGCCAGAAGCAGACCCACUUCCAACAUAAUUCUCUGUUAAUCCAGAAUUAUCGUCUUGGUUAAAGAGAAAGAAGAAAGGACAAUUAAGAAAUACCGACAGCAAAGGAGUAAUGAGAUCGGUCUGUCUCGGUGAGUGGGGGAGAAGCAGGGCGUGUCUGAUCUGCAGACUUCCUGGAAGCCUGGGCCAUGCCAGGUCCAGCCUCCUUAAGGACUCCUGAGCUGUUCCUGUAGGUAGCACCUGCUGCUGUCUCCAGAGGAUCCUGGGCUCGAGACACAGCAGCCUUCUGGCUGGAGGGCAACCCAGGACUCACCGCGUUCUGCAGCCCCUGGCUCUUCUUGGCAUGCUCCAUCUGGGAGCUGUCAGCCACACUGGUGAACUUCAGCUCAUCCACCCUCUGCCGGUAGUUUUUCUGUUUCCAAAGAAAAGACGUGUUCCAUGGUGUGUCUAAAUGCAUGACUUCAGUGCCAGCUCCCUUAUACCACUCAAGCCACGGUCUCGUAAAGGCCUACCAGCAGGUGGCUGCCAUCACAUUGCAGCUGUUUCUUAUCCCUUACACAAUUCUGUGUUAACGAGAAGAACCUACGCUGCUAGCAAGCUCCCCCGAGGCUUUGGCGGCCAACAGAGACAUGGCGUCCAGCUUCAUCUCAAAGCCUUUCCCCUUUGUCUUCUGCCAGCCUUCUUUGUACUUCACCUGACAAACAAACACAAGCACAGAGAUUCAUACUAAGAUAUUUACAGAUGAAGCUGGGUAGCAUCUUGGAUUUUCUUCACAAUGAGAAAGAAGGGGAAGGUCAGAGGGCAUGCACAUGUGGCAGGGUGGGCUGUGAGCUGAUAGUUAUUGAAGCUGGUACCAGGGGCUUCAGUAUGCUCUGCCUUUGUAUAAAUUGACAUCCUCCACAAUAAAAUGUUUGAAAGAAAGGGCAUCAUUUCUCGGCUGUAACCACACAAUCCAGCAUUAGUAAAAGUAAAAUCCUCGGGGGUCAGCUGUCCAGAGGCCUCACAGCAAUUGCAAAAUCCCCAGCGGAGCUGGGGCGUGCUACGUACAUGG